rnacentral:tRNA from 1 species
GCGGGUAUGGUGGAAUUGGCAGACACGUUGGAUUUAGGAUCCAAUGGGAGACCGUGCAGGUUCAAGUCCUGUUACCCGCACCA